rnacentral:miRNA from 1 species
AUCUGACUGAUUGGGCCAGGUCAAGGUUUAGUGAUGAAAGCUUUGGGAGAGAAAACUCUUCCCUGGAGAACUACAGCUCAGCAAGUCAAGCACCCUCAGACAGUCUUUGGUGA